GGUUUCCUCCCACAUCCCAAAAACACGCGACAUUGAUUGGACACUCUAAAUUGCCCGUAGGUGUGAUUGUGAGUGUGACUGGUGUCUGUCUCCAUUUGCCCUGUGAUUGGCUGGAAACCAGUUCAGGGUGUGCCCUGCCUCCUGCCCGAUGAGAGCUGGGAUAGGCUGCAGCACUCCACGUGACCCCCGUGAGGAUAAGCGGCAAGGAAAAUGGAUGGAUGGACGGAUGAGAUAGAUUUUGAAUAAUAUACAACUCCAAGUGGUUAGAGUGUCGGCCUCGCGGUUCUGGGUUCAAAUCCCGGCCCCACCUGCGUGUACGUGUUCUCCCCGUGCCUCCAUGGCUUUUCUCCGGGCACUCGGGUUUUCUCCCACAUCCCAAAAACAUGCAUUCAUUGGAGACUUUUAAUUGAUUGUGAGUGUGCCCUCCGAUUGGCUGGCACCCACUUCUUGGGGUACCCCGCCUCCUGCCCACCCGAUGACAGCUGCGAUUGGCUCAGAAAACGGAUGGGCGGACGAUGAGUUGAAAGCGUUGCUGUUCAAACGCGUGCCGGGUCCCAUUUUGGAGCGAAACUCCAAGUCCCAGGGUGCCUUGCGCGUGACAUCACGAGCAAGGCAGCACGUGCUGGCCGCAGAGUCGCUACUAUGGCUCAGUGUGACUUCGACGCCGGACUCGAGCGGUGCGUGCGAGGAGGCUCGCUGCUGCUGGACGUCGCGCAUCGCCGCGCCGGAUGCGUCCUGCUUAUUUCUCUCUUUGAUCGUCAUUUCGUCGCUGGAUUUUCACGCCCCACUCGCCCGUUUUUUUUUUGACGGAUUUAGCGAGGAUGUUUUUGAGGAUGAGUGGAGAAGUCUAAACGCUUGUUCGCCGGGUUUCUUCUUGUCCCCCCCCCCCCAAAAAAAAAAGAAAAAAAAAAGAAAAUGCAUUUCAUAGUAAUAUACAAGAACACGGAUAAAUAUGGAUCGAUGUUAUGGAUAAAACAGCCUCAUCGUUAAUUGUGGAAUAUUCACACUUUUUUUCUAAUGGAAUGUGACUUCCCUCAAGUCCGGCUGCUGGACAUGUGGGACAGACGACUCUCACGGGAUAACAUGAUCAUUUUUUUAAAAAAAUUGAUAUUCCCGUGGAUGGGGCUGAUUCAAAAAGACGACAAGGAUUGGAAUAUCUUGUCAUACUUUGGAAUAUUUGCAGUAUUUACGGAGGCGCCGAGCUGCUGGAAGACCUCGUGGAGCAUCACCUGAUCAAGCAGGGAGGGAAUCCAAAUUCCGGGAAAGAGCCGUCAGCCCUCGAUGGCUCCCGCAGAUGCCUUGAUGCUAUCACAUGAGCGAGACCGAACUGGAGACAUGAUGUCAAGGAGUUCCCCAGUGCAAAGAAGCGCGAGUGUGCUGAUUUAAACUGAUAGCGCCGCGGAUUGGCCUCAGCGAGACGCUAUGAAAGUUCAAGUCGUGACAGCUCCGGCAAGAAUGUGGCGACGUGGCCGUAUCGCCUUCAGACGCUCCGAUCGCUCCGUGGAAGCCAUUGGAGAUGCGGCGCGAUUGCCUACCACAGCGUCGGUGACCUUCAAAGCACCCUCACGACGGGAAUCAGCGGAGGGAGCGCUGUAUACGUGCACCGCUCAGCGUGGACGUGGACAAUCCCCAAACAUGGUUGGCCGACUACGGAAUAGUUUUUUUUCCCCCCUUUCCUACCCGCCGCUCUCAGUAAAUAAAAGACAAACCUGUGUGAGCAUGGCAGGAUGCCCACAAACAAGUCCACGAGAUGGGCCGAUGAGGGAGGACGAUAGGGGCCGGCCCCCGGGCAUCCGCCGGCAUGCUGAGGCUGCGAGGCAGGUUGGGACGUGGUUCAGUGUGCUGAUGUUGCUCUGCUGGCUAAGCUCCAAGUGAUGAGGCAUCAAGGCGGAGGGGAAACCCACAGUGAAAGGACAAAAAUGGACAAAAAGGCCCGAUUAUUGGAAGGAUCAAGAGUAAAUCCCAGUUUGGACCGUGCCAGGACUCGUGCGGCCAUCGGCAGAUGUUUUCUGCUGGCGAGGCCUCUGACAGCCUGCGCUCCAUCACUGACAACGUCGCCUUCAAGAUCCAGAUUCAGCUUCUUGGACCGGGAGAAGCUUUGACGUAAACGCAGCAGGGCGGCGGAGCAAAUUCCAUUUUUCAGGCAUUAUGAAAGAAAUUUGAAAAAAAAAGGGGGGAGGAAGCCAAGACGGUGAACGGGCCGCAAGUUUACCGCCGUCGACCGCGACGGACGGACAUAUUGUUUGACUUAUUCUACAUUGAGCCUGGAUUAAUAUUUUCCCGUACAGACAUCUGCUUUUCAUACUGGCGCUUUUGCUCAAACGCUGUCGAUGUCACAUCCACCGCGUUAUCCGGUGCACAUCAAUAAGAGCUGGAACUGCGAAAGGAAAAUAAUCAGACGUUAUUUUCAUUCUCGUACGGAGACUCCAGCCAAUAUUUAGACCACGUUGACUGGUCAAGGCCGGGUGAUGGAGAGCUUUGCCAGAAAGAAGAAAAAAAAAAAAAUUCACACGCUUUGCUGAGCUUUUUCAUUGACAAUCAAUUUUGAAAGGUAUCCAUUGAUGAGUGAAACUACAAAGAAAUCAAUGUAUUGCAAGUGUCAUCUGUCAUUGAAUAGGGAAAAUUGAUUUACAUUGGAAAUGGAUUUACAUGCUGCUGCUAAGCUACUAAGAAGAGGUUGUGUAACAAACCGCAUCCCAGAAACACCGAAUUUGCCAUAUUAUUGGACAUCUUUUAUGUAAAAAGAGGUGUUUUUAAUUAUGCAUUUCCAAGUAAAUAACUAAGAUAAAAAAAAAAAAAAAAUCCCAAAUUCAUUGAUGUUUCAGGGCCAGCGGGGAACUCACUAACACUCAAUAGCACACUUUAUUUUUUCAACGAAAAAGAGAGCAAAGUUAUUUUUGUAAGACAGGUGACUACAAACGAAACAUUAUUUACUGCCCGUUCUUUUUUGGUGUCUAAAAUAUCAGGUCUUGUCUCUAUUUCAAAUGUUUGCCCAUUACACUCUCAAAUGUUGUUAGUGGCCAUGAUUUAUAUACAUACAUGUCAUUUUAAUUUUGUCACAUGGUGGUCUAUUUGUCAUCAUGUUUGUACACAAGUAUUAUUUAUGUGGAGGGUAUCAUAAUUGGAGUGGAUCGUAUCCUACCUAAAUUACAGUGAUUCUUGUCAUAACUGGAAUAAAAUUGUGUCAUAACUGGAAUGAAUUGUUUCAUAAUUGGAGUGAAUCAUAUCGGUAUGGACCUUUCUGACCUGUCAAUCACUCAUACAACAACAGCCAAUCAGAUAGCCGCAUUGGCUUGACAAGCCCCUCUCGCCAUAUUGUCACACAAGCAAUGUUGGUUGUCAGUAGCGUGCGCUUGGAAAAGUUCAUGUUACGAAGAAAAUGGUCCUCAGAUGCGCUUGGAGAACGUGCAAUUCUGAUGAAAGACAUCCUGG